rnacentral:rRNA from 1 species
GACGAACGCUGGCGGCGUGCUUAACACAUGCAAGUCGAACGGAAAGGCCCUGCUUUUGUGGGGUGCUCGAGUGGCGAACGGGUGAGUAACACGUGAGUAACCUGCCCUUGACUUUGGGAUAACUUCAGGAAACUGGGGCUAAUACCGGAUAGGAGCUCCUGCUGCAUGGUGGGGGUUGGAAAGUUUCGGCGGUUGGGGAUGGACUCGCGGCUUAUCAGCUUGUUGGUGGGGUAGUGGCUUACCAAGGCUUUGACGGGUAGCCGGCCUGAGAGGGUGACCGGCCACAUUGGGACUGAGAUACGGCCCAGACGCCUACGGGAGGCAGCAGUGGAGAAUAUUGCACAAUAGGCGGGAGCCUGAUGCAGCAGCGCCGCGUGCGGGAUGACGGGUUUCGGGUUGUAAACCGCUUUCGCCUGUGACGAAGCGUGAGUGACGGUAAUGGGUAAAGAAGCACCGGCUAACUACGUG